rnacentral:lncRNA from 1 species
UCUGGGAGUGCUAGCUCGUGAAGAUAUCAUGCAUUGACUGAUCUAAGAGGAAACACCAAGAUAAAGGAUAAAGAGACUCUCUCCUUUUCUUUCUGGAUCCAUGCAUUUGAUCUCUACUAUAGAGAUCAAGAGAAGAAUCCUUUCUUCUCAAUUUUUCCACACAUAAGAGAGAACCUUUCUCUCUUCCAUUCAUGCCCUUAAGAAAAAUUUUUCUUCUCUAAUUUUCUAUGAUAAAAAAUUAGAUCUAAUCUAAUUUCUCAUACUAAAAAUCAUAUAAAAUUUUAAGCUCUAAAAAAAAUCCAAAAGAGGGAUCCAAGAGAAGAACCAUUCUUCUCUCUUCUUCUCCUUUUUUCUUUCUUGAUCUAGAACUCUAGGAAGCCCCUUACACCCAACCAA